UACGAAGGGGGCUAGCGUUGUUCGGAAUCACUGGGCGUAAAGGGCGCGUAGGCGGCUUUGUAAGUCGGGGGUGAAAGCCUGUGGCUCAACCACAGAAUUGCCUUCGAUACUACAUGGCUUGAGACCGGAAGAGGUAAGUGGAACUGCGAGUGUAGAGGUGAAAUUCGUAGAUAUUCGCAAGAACACCAGUGGCGAAGGCGGCUUACUGGUCCGGUUCUGACGCUGAGGCGCGAAAGCGUGGGGAGCAAACAGG
rnacentral:rRNA from 1 species